GGGAGGAUGGCUGAGUGGCUAAAGGCAAUGGACUGUAAAUCCAUCUGUAGAGAUACAUGCGUAGGUUCGAAUCCUACUUCUCCCA
rnacentral:tRNA from 1 species